ensembl:lncRNA
GUCAGGCAGAGAGUGAAGGAGAAAAGACUUUGAUUGUCAUUUUAUUUAGAAAAUAACUUUUCCCAAUUUCUGCUGUUUUCUUGCCUGAUUCCUAUUGUUUUUGUUUGUUUCUUUUAGUGCUUCACAAACUUACUGAAAAACAAAACAACUAACGCAAUUCAGAAAGAAAAAGAUUUCUUUGUUCACUUGAAAAUAUUAAGGGGCCAUUUCUGAACCAUUAUUCAAAGGAGCAGUACACCAAAUAGUACACCCCAAGAUGGGCAGAGGUGCUUCUCUGUGUACCACUUAAGAUACUGUUUAUGUGAAAUUGAAGUCAAUAUGGAGCC